GCGGGUUUAGCUCAGUUGGGAGAGCGUCAGACUGAAGUCCAACUUCAAUCACUAUCAUUACGAUAUCUGAAGGUCGUGUGUUCGAUCCACACAAACCGCA